rnacentral:rRNA from 1 species
CACGUAGGGGGCAAGCGUUGUCCGGAUUUAUUGGGCGUAAAGAGCUCGUAGGCGGCUUAGUAAGUCGGGUGUGAAACCUCCAGGCUCAACCUGGAGACGCCACCCGAUACUGCUGUGGCUAGAGUCCGGUAGGGGAGCGUGGAAUUCCUGGUGUAGCGGUGAAAUGCGCAGAUAUCAGGAGGAACACCAGCGGCGAAGGCGCUGCUCUGGGCCGGUACUGACGCUGAGGAGCGAAAGCGUGGAGAGCGAACAGG